GCCUGGGUGGCUCAGUGGUUGAGCGUCUGCCUUUGGCUCAGGUCAUGAUCCUGGGGUCCUGGGAUCGAGUCCCACAUCGGGCU
rnacentral:tRNA from 1 species